AGUGGAUGGGGAGCAACCUAGUUGUGCGUGUGUAAAGGUAGUGCCAAGAAAAGCGAUGAUCAUGUUGAAAAUCAAUUCCCGGUACCCGAAACCGACACAGGUGGGCAAGUAGAGAAUACUAAGGGGCGCGAGGUAACUCUCUCCAAGGAACUCGGCAAAAUGACCCCGUAACUUAGGGAGAAGGGGUGCCACCGAGAGGUGGUCGCAGUGAAGAGGCCCAGGCGACUGUUUAGCAAAAACAUAGGUCUCUGCAAACUCGAAAGAGGAGGUAUAGGGGCUGACGCCUGCCCAGUGCCGGAAGGUUAAAGAAGUUGGUCAGUUUUAGGAUGAAGCUAGCGACUGAAGCCCCGGUGAGCGGCGGCCGUAACUAUAACGGUCCUAAGGUAGCGAAAUUCCUUGUCGGGUAAGUUCCGACCCGCACGAAAGGCGUAACGAUCUGGGCGCUGUCUCGGAGAGAGGCUCGGCGAAAUAGGAUUGUCUGUGAAGAUACGGACUACCUGCAUUUGGACAGAAAGACCCUAUGAAGCUUUACUAUAGCUUGGAAUUGUGUUCGGGCUUCCUGUGCGCAGGAUAGGUGGGAGGCGUAGAAGGUAUUCUUGUGGGGAUACUGGAGCCAACGGUGAGAUACCACUCUCAGGAGGCUAGAAUUCUAACUUAAUUAAGGACAGUUUCAGGUGGGUAGUUUGACUGGGGCGGUCGCCUCCAAAAAGGUAACGGAGGCGUACAAAGGUUCCCUCAGACUGGUUGGAAAUCAGUCGAAGAGUGCAAAGGCAGAAGGGAGCUUGACUGCGUGAAGUACAGUUCGAGCAGGGUGGAAACACGGUCUUAGUGAUCCGACGGUGCUGUGUGGAAGGGCCGUCGCUCAACGGAUAAAAGUUACUCUAGGAUAACAGGCUGAUCUCCCCCAAGAGUUCACAUCGACGGGGAGGUUUGGCACCUCGAUGUCGGCUCAUCGCAACCUGGGGCGGAAGUACGUCCCAAGGGUUGGGCUGUUCGCCCAUUAAAGCGGUACGUGAGCUGGGUUCAGAACGUCGUGAGACAGUUCGGUCCAUAUCCGAUGUAGGCGUGAGAAUAUUGAGAGGAGCCUUCCUUAGUACGAGAGGACCGGGAAGGACGCACCGCUGGUGUACCUGUUAUGAUGCCAAUUGUAAACGCAGGGUAGCCAAGUGCGGAGGGGAUAACCGCUGAAAGCAUCUAAGUGGGAAGCCCACCUCAAGAUGAGUAUUCUGGUGUAAGGUCACGGGAAGACGACCCGUAAAUAGGCACGAGGUGGAAGUGCAGAGAUGUAUGAAGCCGAAGUGUACUAAUAGACCGUCGGCUUGACC
rnacentral:rRNA from 1 species